AGAUCACGUGCAAGUUUAGAUACAGAUUGCCAUUUUUCAGUGUGAAAAUCAAGUUGCAUGCUUUUAAUUGCCUCAAAAAGAGCGUCCAAAGAGUCCCCUUGAAAUGGAAGGACACCAACCAGUAGUCCAUGUAAAAGAACACCAGCACUCCAAAUAUCUGCUUUUUGACCAUAAUCCCCUGUAAGAACUUCAGGGGCCACAUACG
rnacentral:misc_RNA from 1 species